GAGUUCCUGAAUCGAUUCAAAAUGCUUCAUGGUGAUUUUGACUUUAGUGAAGAGCCGGAAGUCACUUGGCGCCAGACCAGUGAGUAAGUUCUACAUUUGGCGUCACCCACUGCGCCAUCAGGCUGGCUUGCUUUCGUCUGUCCUCCCCUGCACAAGGUAAGCUGUGCGGAAGCAGGGAUGCUGGGCCCUUCACAAGCUCCUGCACACACAAGCAGUCCCCAGAAUGGAGCUGGCCAGGAGCUGGGGCUCAGUGCAUCAUUGUUGAAUGAGAAUGGAUGCUUGUUUUCUUAAACUCUUCCUAAAGCAAUUCAAUGAAUCAGAGCUGAA